AUCCAUUUAACAACCUACAACCCGGUUAUGGAUAAUCUUCCAUGCGAGUAUAUUAUCUACGUUUUGACGGCUAUAGAUGAUAUAUCUCAUACACUCUUCGGUCGUUGCCCUUCGUGUUUCCCCAGCUGAGUAUGAUUCGUAUUCCUUUUGGAAUCGAAUGUCCAUCCUUUAACAAGAUUGCUUUUCUAGCCCUCUUCAGGAUGAUGAGUGUUUUGGAACACAAAC
rnacentral:lncRNA from 1 species